rnacentral:rRNA from 1 species
AUUGAACGCUGGCGGCAGGCCUAACACAUGCAAGUCGAGCGGAUGAAGGGGGCUUGCUCCUGGAUUCAGCGGCGGACGGGUGAGUAAUGCCUAGGAAUCUGCCUGGUAGUUGGGGAUAACGUCCGGAAACGGGCGCUAAUACCGCAUACGACCUGAUGGAGAAAGUGGGGGAUCUUCGGACCUCACGCUAUCAGAUGAGCCUAGGUCGGAUUAGCUAGUUGGUGGGGUAAAGGCCUACCAAGGCGACGAUCCGUAACUGGUCUGAGAGGAUGAUCAGUCACACUGGAACUGAGACACGGUCCAGACUCCUACGGGAGGCAGCAGUGGGGAAUAUUGGACAAUGGGCGAAAGCCUGAUCCAGCCAUGCCGCGUGUGUGAAGAAGGUCUUCGGAUUGUAAAGCACUUUAAGUUGGGAGGAAGGGCAGUAAGUUAAUACCUUGCUGUUUUGACGUUACCAACAGAAUAAGCACCGGCUAACUUCGUG